GACGAACGCUGGCGGCGUGCUUAACACAUGCAAGUCGAGCGAGCGGCGAACGGGUGAGUAAUACGUAGUAACCUGCCCUCCUUUUUGGGAUAAGCCUUGGAAACGGGGUCUAAUACCGAAUAACGGGGGAUGGGCUCGCGGCCUAUCCGCUUGUUGGUGGGGUGAUGGCCUACCAAGGCGGUGACGGGUAGCCGGCCUGGGAGGGUGACCGGCCACAUGGGGACUGAGACACGGUCCAGACUCCUACGGGAGGCAGCAGUGGGGAAUAUUGGACAAUGGGCGAAAGCCUGAUCCAGCCAUGCCGCGUGUGUGAAGAAGGUCUUCGGAUUGUAAAGCACUUUAAGUUGGGAGGCGUUACCAACAGAAUAAGCACCGGCUAACUUCGUGCCAGCAGCCGCGGUAAUAC
rnacentral:rRNA from 1 species